rnacentral:pre_miRNA from 1 species
CUCGAGUUCUCUCUCAUGUCUAGACCAUUUGUGAGAAGGGAUUUUCUAUUUGCAUCAUUCACUCCCACCAAUCUCUAAGUAUGCAAUAAGUAUUAUUCUCACUUAAGAAAAAAGCAAUCCUAUUAUUUGAGAUGCUUCUACAGCUUGAAAUAUGUUGUUUAGUUCUUUAUAUGGUUACCAAAACGUUAAGAAACCAUGUGAACAUUCCCCCAAAAAUUAAAGGUCUAGCCUGUAGGUCACAGUCAUUAGAGCCACUCUCACUUCUCGUUUUUUUUUUUGUCAAACCACUUCUCGUUUAAAAUGUGUUACUUCUUCCAUCAAAAUCUGAUCCUUGAGGAGUUAGGUCCAUAAGUAAGUACACAGAGUGAACACAUAACUUGAUAAAAUCAUUUACACUUUGGACAAUUUCCCAUGAGAUGCCAAACUUUUCAAUGGAGUUUGAGUUUUUCAAUGAUAGCUAAAAUUUGUAUCUAGCACUACUUAUAGCUACACUAGUAUACUUGAUAAUAUUUUGAGAGGAGUGGGGGAGAUGCUGUGUUAUUAUUCCCUUCUCAUCGAUGGUCUAGAUGUGUGAGGUGACUCUCAUGGAAG